rnacentral:rRNA from 1 species
CACGAAGUUAGCCGGAGCUUAUUCUCCAGGUACUGUCAUUAUCAUCCCUGGUAAAAGAGCUUUACAACCCUAAGGCCUUCAUCACUCACGCGGCAUUGCUGGAUCAGGCUUUCGCCCAUUGUCCAAUAUUCCCCACUGCUGCCUCCCGUAGGAGUCUGGGCCGUGUCUCAGUCCCAGUGUGGCUGAUCAUCCUCUCAGACCAGCUAAGGAUCGUCGGCUUGGUGGGCCAUUACCCCACCAACUACCUAAUCCUACGCGGGCUCAUCCCUGGGCGAUAAAUCUUUGGUCCGAAGACAUCAUCCGGUAUUAGCAGUCAUUUCUAACUGUUAUUCCGAACCCAAGGGCAGAUUCCCACGCGUUACGCACCCGUGCGCCACUAACCCCGAAGGGCUCGUUCGACUUGCAUGUGUUAGGCAUGCCGCCAGCGUUCGUUCUGAGCCAGGAUCAAACUCU